UACGUAGGUGGCAAGCGUUGUCCGGAAUUAUUGGGCGUAAAGAGCUCGUAGGCGGUCUGUCACGUCGGCUGUGAAAACCCGAGGCUCAACCUCGGGCCUGCAGUCGAUACGGGCAGACUAGAGUUCGGUAGGGGAGACUGGAAUUCCUGGUGUAGCGGUGAAAUGCGCAGAUAUCAGGAGGAACACCGGUGGCGAAGGCGGGUCUCUGGGCCGAAACUGACGCUGAGGAGCGAAAGCGUGGGGAGCGAACAGG
rnacentral:rRNA from 1 species